rnacentral:ribozyme from 14 species
AAGAAAACAGAUGAGAUAGGCUACUACCUCUGCUCAUCGUGCCAUUUGCACUUUUUGUUCUGCUGUUUUUUUUUUUUUUUUUUUUUCCCCUCCCUUUUUCUGUCCGUUUCCCUUUUUUAAGACC